rnacentral:ncRNA from 1 species
UGACAAACCGUACCUAGAAUCUGAAACAAGUAAGCUAGUAGAGAAUACGAAGGCGUGAAUGAGAUAACAAUCAUAAAGGAACUCGGCAAACUAACUACCGUAACUUAGGGAUAAGGAGAGCUCAUUAGUCUCGAUUAAUACGAGUAAAAAGGAAGAAGCAUGGAAUAUUGUUGUACGACUGUUUAAUUAAAACAAAGCACUUUGCAAAAAGACGAUAAGUCUAAGUAUUGAGUGUGAUUUCUGCCCGAUGCCGGCUGGUUAACGAAUUUUCUAAAUUGAAAAAAAAUUUGGUUUCAGAGGAACCCCCGGUUAAUGGCGGCCUUAGCGUGAGGGUCCUAAGGUAGCGAAAUGCCUUGGCCGUUAAAUGCGGUCUUGCAUGAAUGAUGUAACGAUACAACAGCUGUCUCUAUGAUUGACUCAGUGAAAUUGGAAUAACUGUGCAGAUACAGUUUACCUCUAGUUAGACGAGAAGACCCUAUGCAGCUUUACUGUUACUAAUUAUUGAAUACGAUUCUGAAAAUUUCCAGUGUAAAAGGUAAUCGAUAAGAUAUAAUUGAAACACCUUUAUUUUUCUAUCGUAUUAUUAAACCUUAAAUUAAGGAACAAUUGUUAGAAGACAGUUUAUGCGGGGCACAGGCCCCAUAAAGAGUAAAUGGGUGUGUCUAAAAUUUAUAAAUUUAUGUUUGCAAUUUUUUAUAGUGAUUAUAUAUCAAAUCAUCUUUAUGCUAUUCAUAGAGUGUAUUUAUUAUAUUCCUUGGGUAC